UCAGCGGCCCCACUUGCUUGAGGAAUUCACUGAAUCCAACCCCCUCUCUCUCCCCUCUAUCUCUCUCUCUCCUCCCUCUACAUAACUUCACAUUCACAUUACAUACAGAACAGUGAAACAAUUCCAAAUCCAUCAAUAACUCCAUCCCAUCCAAAUGCCCCACUCUCACCAAUAUCACAUCAAAUACACCAUCCCCAAACACUCUCUUUCAUUCAUUUCCUUUUCACCCUUCCUCUCUCCCACCCAAAUCCCCAAUUAUUGACCCUAACAUUUGUUCAUUUUCUUGUUUUUUCCUCCCCAAAACCCACCUUUGUCCUUCUAAUCCACCAAUUCUACUUUUUGUUUGGUUGUAUUUUGAUGAGCUAUCAUUUCAUUUCUUGCUAGCUUUCUUUGAAUAGGUAGAUUCAUUUCUGAGAUAGACAAACACAAUUAGAGAGAUAAAGAGUUAUUUUGGAAAAAACAUAUAGAGGUGGGAAGAGUGCUGAAAUGCAAAAGUUGUAUGAGGGUACUUUUGUUUCUUGUUGCCUCAUUUGGAAAAUUUCAUCCCAAAACCACCUCCACAAACAUCACAGUUGUUGGAGUUGGUUCAUCAUCGGCGACAACGUUUCGUGGUUUGUAGAAUUGAGAUCAGCUUGAAUUUUACUUUGUGAAUGCAUGCUGCAAAGUACAAUUGAAAUUGAAAUGGUUUUCUGAGAUGGUUGAGGUAGAAAUUUGUGUUUUCUUAGAUGGUAUCCUCAAUUAUUAAUACAAACAGAUCAGACCCACUUGUCAAGAAUUGUUCAAUUUGAUUAUAUUCUAUUGAAGAAGAAUUCAGAAAGUUUGGUGGAAUUUGGUACAAGGGAAAGUAUUAUUGGAGUUGUUGGAUUCAAGAAAACACAAAACUCAUCAAAUUCACAUCUGAUCUGAGAAACAAUUGGGUUUGUGGGAUUCAAGAAAAUACAAAACUCAGCAAAUUCACUUCUUGAUUGAUUGAAUCCUGUUUGGAGAGAGUUGCAGUUGCAUUCUAGAUCUGUUGUAUUGGUGAGAUUUCCGAUAAUUUCAGAAUUUGGAUCUUAAGCAAAACUAGUGUGUUUGUAGUGAUAAUCAAAUAUUGUUAGCAGCAACGUCAAAAAACUGCAUCAUGGACGUGAGAAUGAAGAAUAACAACAAUAAGGCAGCUGCUCCUUUUUCUUUUCCUAAAAUGAGGCCUACUACUACUCCUCCUUUGGUGGUUGAUGGAAAAAAAGUGUUGUAUCAUCGGUCUUUCUCGCAAGGGCAAGGGCACGCCAGAAGAAUUUUCCCGUUCAGUAUAGAGUCGUCGCUACUACUCGUUUGUCUGACAGCUUCGCUGCUGAUUCUGCCACUGAUACUUCCGCCAUUGCCGCCACCGCCUUUCAUGCUGCUGCUGCUCCCCAUUGGGAUUCUGGCUGUGCUUAUGAUAUUGGCUUUUAUGCCUUCUUCUGAUGUCCGCCAUAUUGCUACUACUGCUACUUAUACAUAUAUGUAAAAAUGGUGUUAAAAAGAAGUGAAUUUGCCAAUUUUUGUUCA